rnacentral:misc_RNA from 1 species
GGGAGGUGAAGCAAAGGUUGAAGAUGCUAGUAUGUCACCAUUGAAUGCCAUAGAUAGCAUAUCUGAGUCUCACUCAUCCUCAGCAUUCCAUGGGUCACCACCCCAUUAUCAAGAGGAUAUUCUUCACCGUCGACAUAAUUUCAUGGAAGAGAUUUUGCAAUUAUCUGCAGAGUCAUAUUCAGUUCCUUCCUCUGACAGCUAUUCCAGCAAUAGCGAGGAUGAUAUCUUUCCCUUUGGAC